UACGGAGGGUGCAAGCGUUAUCCGGAUUUACUGGGUUUAAAGGGUGUGUAGGCGGAUCUUUAAGUCAGCGGUGAAAUCUCCGGGCUCAACCCGGAAACUGCCAUUGAUACUAUUGGUCUUGAAUAUUGUGGAGGUGGGCGGAACGGGUCAUGUAGCGGUGAAAUGCUUAGAGAUGACCCGGAACACCGAUUGCGAAGGCAGCCCACUACGCAAUGAUUGACGCUGAGGCACGAAAGCGUGGGGAUCAAACAGG
rnacentral:rRNA from 2 species